rnacentral:rRNA from 1 species
AAUGAACGCUGGCGGCGUGCCUAACACAUGCAAGUCGGAUGUGCCGCAAGGUGCAUGGCAGACGGGUGAGUAACGCGUGGGGAACCUACCUCUUCGUGGGGAAUAACGAUCCGAAAGGAUUGGUAAUACCGCAUGAGACCGACGGCUGGGAUGCUGUCGGUGAAAGCUGGGGACCGGAAACGGCCUGGCGCGAGGAGAGGGUCCUGCGUCUGAUUAGCUAGUUGGUGGGGUAACGGCCUACCAAGGCAUCGAUCAGUAGCCGGCCUGAGAGGGUGAUCGGCCACACUGGAACUGAGACACGGUCCAGACUCCUACGGGAGGCAGCAGUGGGGAAUUUUGCGCAAUGGACGAAAGUCUGACGCAGCAACGCCGCGUGGGUGAUGAAGGUCUUCGGAUUGUAAAACCCUGUCGUCGGGGACGAAGGUAGGAGGGUUAAUAGCCCUUUUGCUUGACGGUACCCGGAGAGGAAGCCCCGGCUAACUACGUGCCAGCAGCCGCGGUAAU